GACGAACGCUGGCGGCGUGCUUAACACAUGCAAGUCGAACGGAAAGGCCCUGCUUUUGUGGGGUGCUCGAGUGGCGAACGGGUGAGUAACACGUGAGUAACCUGCCCUUGACUUUGGGAUAACUUCAGGAAACUGGGGCUAAUACCGGAUAGGAGCUCCUGCUGCAUGGUGGGGGUUGGAAAGUUUCGGCGGUUGGGGAUGGACUCGCGGCUUAUCAGCUUGUUGGUGGGGUAGUGGCUUACCAAGGCUUUGACGGGUAGCCGGCCUGAGAGGGUGACCGGCCACAUUGGGACUGAGAUACGGCCCAGACCCCUACGGGGGGCAGGCGGGGGGAAUAUUGCACAAGGGGCGGAAGCCUGAUCCAGCACCGCCGCGUGGGGGAUGACGGCCUUCGGGUUGUAAACCGCUUUCGCCUGUGACGAAGCGUGGGUGCCGGUAAUGGGGAAAGAAGCACCGGCUACCUACGU
rnacentral:rRNA from 1 species